rnacentral:rRNA from 1 species
UUGGAGGGCAAGUCUGGUGCCAGCAGCCGCGGUAAUUCCAGCUCCAAUAGCGUAUAUUAAAGUUGUUGCAGUUAAAAAGCUCGUAGUUGAAUUUCGGGAUCAAUAUUUCGGUCAUGCCGUUGGUAUGCACUGUUAUCAUUGAUUUCUCACCUUCUAAAGAACCGUAAUGCCAUUAAUUUGGUGUUACGGGGAAUUAGGACUGUUACCUUGAAAAAAUUAGAGUGUUUAAAGCAGGCUCACGCUUGAAUACAUUAGCAUGGAAUAAUGAAAUAGGACAUCCGAUUCUAUUUUGUUGGUUUCUAGGAUCGAUGUAAUGAUUAAUAGGGAUAGUUGGGGGCAUUAGUAUUCAAUUGUCAGAGGUGAAAUUCUUGGAUUUAUUGAAGACUAACUACUGCGAAAGCAUUUGCCAAGGAUGUUUUCAUUAAUCAAGAACGAAAGUUAGGGGAUCGAAGACGAUCAGAUACCGUCGUAGUCUUAACCAUAAACUAUGCCGACUAGGGAUCGGAUGAUGUUAUUUUUAAUGACUCAUUCGGCGCCUUACGGGAAAC